AUACGGAGGGUGCAAGCGUUGUCCGGAUUUAUUGGGUUUAAAGGGUGCGUAGGCGGAUAAUUAAGUCAGUGGUGAAAGACUGCAGCUCAACUGUAGAGGUGCCAUUGAUACUGAUUAUCUUGAGUACAGUUGAGGUAGGCGGAAUUUAUGGUGUAGCGGUGAAAUGCAUAGAUACCAUAAAGAACACCGAUAGCGAAGGCAGCUUACUGGACUGUAACUGACGCUGAGGCACGAAAGCGUGGGGAGCGAACGGGAUUAGAUACCCUAGUAGUCC
rnacentral:rRNA from 1 species